UGGGGCUCUAAGGAUAGGGCAGGAUGAGUGCAGGCCAGAGGCCAGCCCCUUAGGAAGAGUUCCCCAGAUGAAGUACUCUUGGAUGAUGUUGCAGAGUCUGAUCCUCAAUUUCACAUACAUGCAAGCUUAGUUUUCCUAGUGUUCUAGAAUAGAUCAGACUGACCUAACUCACCAAAGUCGCAAGUCCAGUGUGCAGAACAGAAAGCUAAUCUAUUCACUUGCAAGAGAAUGCAGAGUCACCAGACUGAUGGGCAGGGGGGCUCUCAUCAUGGUGUCAGUGCUAAAUAAUGUUUCCUCAAACAGAAAUGGGGCCAAGAGAGAUGGAUUGCAAAAUUCAGCUGAAACAUGACCUGAAUAAUGAUCAAACACUUGCCAUGCCCAAGUGCUUUAUAUUCCUUUUCGUUAAUCUUCACCACGAUCUUGCAAAGACGAUAUUAUCAUCUCUGUUUUGCAGUUGAAGGAGCUGAAACUCAGAGAAUUUAAACAUCUUUUUGAAGGUCAUAAACCCUGGCAGCGUUCGAGCCUCUUUUCUGGCUGGGAUGAGAUGAGAUGAAUGACUUUGGUCCUACAGGGUAGAGAAAAACUCUUGAUUGGCAGGGAGAGUUCCACCCACCGAUCUCACCUCUCUGCUGGAUGGUGCUGGAUGAAGACCGCUUCCUGCCCUGCUUCCCUGUAAGUUCUGAACCUCAGAGGAUCUAGAGUGUGCCUUGGAAAUCUAUAUUUUUGACAAAGAGGAAAAUCUCAGAUCGAAGGCUAAGUGACUGCCAGAGGUAUGGUGUAGCAAGGUCACACUUAGGCAUUAGAUGGCAAUAUCAUGUUUUAUAGCAGCUUAUUAUUUUUUCUUACUGUGGCAUAUGGAAGUUCCCAAGCCAGGGUGGAAUUGGAGCUGCAGCUGCCAGCCUACACCACAGCCACAGCCACACUAGAUCCAAACCUUGUCUCUGACCUACACCACAGCUCAGGGCAACGCUGGAUCCUUAACCCACUGAGCAAGACCAGGGAUUGAACUCGCAUCCUCAUGGGUCCUGGUCAGGUUUGUAACCCACUGAGCCACAACAGGAACUUCCACAAUAUCAUGUUUGAAAACGAUCUUGACACUUUCCAUUCAUCACUAACACAAACGAGGAAAGUUGGACAGAAUAGGUGUAAAGAACUGUAUUUAGAAAUCAACUGCUUGCUGGUAGCUCUAAAAUGGUUCACAUAAAAAAAGAGGUUGUAGGAUGUGACAUGGUGACUCUAAAAAGUACAGUAUAAAUAUAGGGUUCUGGACAAGCAGUGUUAGCGUGCGACUCAAAGGAUCUGCUUGUUCGCCAGUGGACGCUUUUGUAUCACCAUGUACUUCUGCGUCCAGCGUGGUCCUGACUUUCCGAGAGAGCCCCUUAUGAAUUGGAGAGCAUCCUGAAAAGGAUGACCAGGGCUGUAGUGGGAAGGAGGCCAUCCAUGGAAAGAAAUCCCUCCCAAGUGUUCAGGGCUCUCGAGAAAGGGGGUUGGAUUUGUUCUGUGCAGAUGCAUUUGCAGGACUAAGACCCACCGAGAAAUUCAGGGAGAAGUCGCGUUUACCUUGCUAUGAUGAAGAUCUUUCUAAUAAUUAGUGUUCAAAAGUGGAGGGAAUUUUUGUAAAUGCCAGAAAGAAUUCAAACAGAAUAAAUAAUCACUAGUUGGAAAUGUCGUGGAUAAAAUUCCUGAACCGAGUAGACAGAUUUACUUCCUUCUUCUAGGGAAGAGCCAGCCGUCACAGAGCCCCUCAGCUCUCCGCUGUCAGUGGGGAUGGGACCUCGCCUGGAGUGGGUGCAGCUGGAGCUCUGAAUCCGGCUCUUUGGGCCAGGAUCCACCCCCUGUUUUUCCCCAUCGGGUCUCAGAAGUCUCCAGUUUCUUUUGUAUUUUAACCACUAAAUAGAGAUGCAAGGUCGCUCUGGCUCUUGCAGGAAUAUUGUCCUCAGGCUGCGGAUGUGUCUUAUGGGUCCUCCAUACACAGAAUGUCACUCAGUGUGACCUACGGUAAUUUUCCAUAGUUCUUUCUGCUCCUGACAGCUUUAGCCUCUCAAAUAAAUAUUCUUUCAUCUUCUGGGCAAUGUGAAUAUUGCAACUCUUUGUGGUUUUGGCUUUGUUUUGGUAACGAGGCAAUUCAGCAUAUCCAUGUGGCCUGCUUUUGUUUUUGUUUUCUUUUUAGCACAGCACCCUCGGCAUAUGGAGGUUCCCAGGCUAGGGGUGGAGUCAGCUGCAGCUACCGACCUACACCAUGGCCACAGCAACGCCAGAUCUGAACUGUGGCUGCGACCUACACCAGAGCUCACAGCAACGCCAGAUCCUUAGCAAGGCCAGGGAUGGAAGCAGCUUUCUCAUGGAUGCAAGUCAGGUUUGUUAACCACUGAGCCACCAUAGGAACUCCGUGGGGCCAACUUUUAAUAACUAACUGUAGGGCAUUAUGGCGCAUAUUUUUGUAUUGUUAAGGUUCCUUUUUUUAUCUUCAUAUGUGACACCAAUUCUUCCUUGGCCAUGAUCUUUUAAAUCCUUGGGACAAAAUUCUAACUGUCUAGUACAUAUUUUUGAUUCUUUAAAUUCUUCAGGAGUGAAGACAUAAGUUCAACGAUAAACAAAAUGUGAACAAUUAAAUUUUUGUUUUCAUUGUCCUCUGCAUAUAAAAGACACUUAAGGGAGUUCCCAUUGUGGCUCAGUGGUAGUGAAUCCGACUAGGAUCCAUGAGGAUGAGGGUUUGAUCCCUGGCCUCACUUGGUGGGUUAGGAUCCGGCAUUGCGGUGGUAUAGGCUGCAGACAUGGCUCCCAUCUUUUACUGUGGCUAUGGUGUAGGCUGGCAGCUGCAGUUCUGAUUUGACCCCUAGCCUGGGAACUUCCAUAUGUCACAGGUGUGGCCCUAAGAGAGAGAGAAAAAAAAGGCAUUUAAUAAAAAUUUGAUGAAUGAGUGAGUGGUGAAUUCUACAAGGUGUGUAAAGAAAAUUUUGACAUAAGCUGUUUUUGCAGAGGAUACAAGAGUAGAACCAGUAGCUAAUAAUAGUCACAGUAGGAGUUCCUGCCAUGGCAAAACAGAUUGGCAGCAUCUCUGCAGCACCAGCAGGCGGGUUUGAUCCUGGGCUUGGCACAAUGGGUCAAAGGGUCCAGCAUUACCACAGCUGUGGCACAGGUCACAACUGUGGCUCAGAUCUGAUCCCUGGCUCAGGUAUUCCAUGUGCCAAGGGGUGGCCAAAAAUGAAAAAGAAAAGAAAAGGAAAACAUAUAGUCAUAAUAGCCAACAGUGAUUGCAAGCUGUUUGCUGCAGACACAAUGUCACUUAAUCUUCACAAGCAGUGAUAAGCAAGUUAUAACUAUCAUAGGUAAAGAUGGGAAGCCACCAAGAGGGCAAUGUUGUCCCAGGUCACCCGAGGGUAGGUGGCAGAGUGUGUCUUACAGUCAAACCCUCAGUUCAGGUAUCGGUAAGAACCCAAGGGAUCCAGUGCUUUGGUUGGAGUCUUCCCGCCUUGCUCCAGGUGUGAGUUUGCCCAACCUGACUGUGCCUCCGGCUGAGGUGCACCUGCUUUCUGAGCUCAAGACAGGAUUAGCACAAACAUGUCUUACCUCCUGGAUGAAGCCCCACGUCACCCCCACGUUCCCUCCUGGGUUCUUGGAGGCUUUUGUUCCCACACCCAGUUCUGGCCCAGAGCUCCUGCUUUGUGGGUUCUGGAACCUCUCCUGUCUCCCAUCCUGAACUUGCCUCGGCUCUGUGCUGGCCCAAAGCGGAACUCGGUUUCUUGGGCUGAUUUCCCCGAGCCCCGCCGUGUGACAGUGCUUGUCUGUGGCAGGUGUGAAGAAGGUCUGGGGAGACGGAGAGUGUUUACAGCAAAAUCUCAGCUGUUUAGUGCACUCACUGGGCACCUGUCCUUCCUUGUCCUGGGCUGCUUGUCUGGGGACCUUGUUCAUCAGCCACUUCCCCCAUCAGGUCCCAGGCUGGCAGCUCAGCAUUGCCCCUUCUCCCCAGCCAGUGGCCACACAACCUGGAAUUGGGCAUUGGCGCUAUGAGUACAAGAGGUGUUCCAUGUUGGGUGAGCAUGGAGAGCUUUAAGAAAAUCCGCUUUAGGCCAUCAACGUGCAGGCCAGUUGAUGUCUCCGAAAAGCUUCCGUGGUCCAGCUGUUUUUCUUCCUCUUUUGCCCACCCUCUCUUUCAUAAAGAUCCCUUUCCUGUUUAACAGAAGAAAGGCAGACCUCCUCCCCCCAGCCCCCGAACCCGACCCCAAAUCUUACUAAAGCAUACGGAUGUGGAGUGUGAAAACCUUCAUGCAAAGAGAUCCUCUGAAAUACUGAUGUGGGUCUGAGAAAGUGAUAAGCUCUAGAGAAUGCAUAGCUAUUCCUUUUUCUGUCAAGGGUUUUCCAAUUCUUGGAUUACAAUAAAAUGGAAGGAGAACAUGUGCCAUCUAAAAAUAGGUCAUCUAAAAAUACAUUUUGGCAUAUUUAGGAUCCUUGAGGACUCCAGUUUGAUCUCUGGCCUUGCUCAGUGGGUUAAGGAUCUGGAGUUGUCUUAAGUUGCAGUGUAGUUUGCAGAUGCAUCGUGGAUCUGGUGUGGCUGUGGCUGUGGCAUAGGCCGAGAGCUGCACCUCCAAUUUGACCCCUAGCCCCCAGAACUUCCAUAUGCUGUGGGUGCAGUCAAAUAAAUAAAAAUAAAAAUACAUUUUGAGGAUACAUAACUAUGCUAAUUAGGGGAAAGACAACUCAGGGAGAAUUCAGCAGUCGAGUGAUGUUGUUACCCUGAAAUGCCCUUGUUCCCAUCUCCUUAUUAGAUGAGUGAGGAGUUUUCAGAAUUUUCAUCAAUAAAAAAAAAGGAGUUCCCGUUGUGGCUCGGUGGGUUAAGAAUCUGACACAGCAGCUCAGGUUGCUGUAGAGG
rnacentral:lncRNA from 1 species